GAUGAACGCUGGCGGCGUGCCUAAUACAUGCAAGUCGAGCGGACAGACGAUGAGCUUGCUCCUCUGACGUUAGCGGCGGACGGGUGAGUAACACGUGGAUAACCUACUUAUAAGACUGGGAUAAUUUCGGGAAACCGGAGAUAAUACCGGAUAAUAUAUUGAACCGCAUGGUUCAAUAGUGAAAGACGGUUUUGCUGUCUCUUAUAGAUGGAUCCGCGCUGCAUGAGAUAGUUGGUAAGGUAACGGCUUACCAAGGCGGCGAGGCGUAGCCGACCUGAGAGGGGGAUCGCCCACCCGGGAACUUGACCACGGACCAGGCUCCUAAGGGAGGCAGCAGUAGGGAAUCGUCGGCAAUGGGCGAAAACCUGGCGGAGCGACGCCGCGUGAGUGAUGAAGGUCUUCGGAUCGGAAAACUCUGUUUUUGGGUAAAAACAAAUGUGUAAUUAACUAUACACGGCUUGACGGUACCUAAUCAAAAAGCCACGGCUAACUACGUG
rnacentral:rRNA from 1 species